GCCAAUUUUGAAAAAAAUAAAAAAAACUAAUGGUAGAAUAUUAAAAAGGCGGAGGGGCUAAAAGCGUAAUUUACCCCUCCGCAUAAAAACACGCGGACCCUAAGGCGGAUCGGGUCGGAUCCGGGUCGGGUACUCAAAACGACGCCAUUUUAGGCGUCUGAAGGUUUCCCCAAAACAGUACCGUUUUGGUACCCUAUAAAAGCCCUUAACUCUAAAAAAAAUUCAUUUCAAAACCGAUUUAAAAAAAAAACAAAAAAACCUUUAAAAAAACUCUCUCUCCC
rnacentral:lncRNA from 1 species